rnacentral:rRNA from 1 species
UGGGGGUUAUUGCACAAUGGGCGAAAGCCUGAUGCAGCGACGCCGCGUGGGGGAUGAAGGCUUUCGGGUUGUAAACCUCUUUCGCUAUCGAACAAGGCCCGCUUAGGGUGGGUUGAGGGUAGGUGGAGAAGAAGCGCCGGCUAACUACGUGCCAGCAGCCGCGGUAAUACGUAGGGCGCGAGCGUUGUCCGGAAUUAUUGGGCGUAAAGGGCUUGUAGGCGGCUUGUUGCGCCUGCUGUGGAAACGCGGGGCUUAACUUCGCGCGUGCAGGGGGUGCGGGCAGGCUUGAGUGUGGUAGGGGUGACUGGAAUUCCAGGUGUAGCGGUGGAAUGCGCAGAUAUCUGGAGGAACACCGAUGGCGAAGGCAGGUCACUGGGCCAUUACUGACGCUGGGGAGCGAAAGCAUGGGUAGCGAACAGG